UCCCCAAGUAGCGGCGAGCGAACCGGGAAGAGUCCAGCGCCGAAUCCCCGGGCCGCUCCGUGGCCCGCGGGAAAUGUGGCGUGUGAGAGGCCGCGUGCCGCCGUUCUAUGCCGCGGAGCAAGUUCCUUCGAGUGGGACGUGCCCGAGGGCAACCGCAGAGGGUGCGAGUCCCGUGGCCCGCGGAAAGUUGCGUGCGGAUGGCGGCCGUCUCUCGAGUCGGGUUGCUCGGGAGUGCAGCCCAAAGAAAGGUGGUAAACUCCAUCUAAGGCUAAAUACUGCCUCGAGACCGAUAGCGAACAAGUACCGUGAGGGAAAGUUGCAAAGAACUUUGAAGAGAGAGUUCAAGAGUGCGUGAAACUGCCCGGAGGAAAACGGGUGGGCGUUCGAAGGCCCCCGUCGUACACUUUGCCGGAUAUUCAGUGCUGCCGCCAAUGGGGAACGGAUGAAGGUUCUUCGUUCGGUGCGCGAAGUCCGUUCGUAUGCGAUUCGUCGCUUCGUUUCGGCUCGCGUCGUCCGGCGUCCCGGAUUGACCUUCCCGACGGCGCACGCAAUUCCGAGCUUCGGUGUCGGCUUCAGGGCGCCGCGACGGAUCGAACACAAAAAGAGUGCCGUUCGGCGGGCCUGGUUAUCGCGCCGGUUGUGGUUCUGCCCCUCGGGGUCGGGACCCUCCCGCGGCUCGGCAAUAACCGCCGUCCGGUCGUUCGAUUCGAUUGCCUCGCGCAGUGGCGUUCGGUGCACUUUUCGUUCGGCGAGUCACUCUCCCGGUCUUCGCGAGGGGUUUCUAGUCCUCUCCGUCGCCGGAGGUCUCCCGACGCGAGAGUAGUCGCCGUCUCUAGCCAUCGCGGCGAACGUCUCGGUGUCCCACCCGACCCNNNNNNNNNNNNNGACCAAGGAGUCUAACGCAUGCGCGAGUCGCGGGGUCUCGACAGAGCCCCGUCGGCGUAGCGAAGGCGAAGCCGAAACGAACGUCCAAAAAAUUUGUGGCUUUUUUCUCAGCAUCGGAGACCCGGCGUAAAGGUCGGCCCUUCGUUGGAGCUUUUCGGAGCCGAAGCGUAGGUCGCCGGCUCGUCGGAGUCAGAGCGUGUGAGUUGGUACCCGAAAGAUGGUGAACUAUGCCCGACCAGGGCGAAGCCGGAGGAAACUCCGGUGGAGGCCCGAAGCGGUUCUGACGUGCAAAUCGAUCGUCGGAGUGAGGUAUAGGGGCGAAAGACCAAUCGAACCGUCUAGUAGCUGGUUCCCUCCGAAGUUUCCCUCAGGAUAGCUGGCAUUCGGGAAAUCUUCAGUUGCUUCGCGUAGAGAGAAUGAGUAGAGGCCCUGGGGCCCUAGACGACCUCAACCUAUUAUCAAACUACUACGGGGUGCGUCGGGGCCGGCCUUGCUCGAUUGAGGUGCCGGCCUAACGAGAAUGUACGAGUGCCGUGUGGGCCAUUUUUG
rnacentral:rRNA from 1 species